GAUGAACGCUGGCGGCGUGCCUAAUACAUGCAAGUCGAGCGAAUGGAUUAAGAGCUUGCUCUUAUGAAGUUAGCGGCGGACGGGUGAGUAACACGUGGGUAACCUGCCCAUAAGACUGGGAUAACUCCGGGAAACCGGGGCUAAUACCGGAUAACAUUUUGAACCGCAUGGUUCGAAAUUGAAAGGCGGCUUCGGCUGUCACUUAUGGAUGGACCCGCGUCGCAUUAGCUAGUUGGUGAGGUAACGGCUCACCAAGGCAACGAUGCGUAGCCGACCUGAGAGGGUGGUCGGCCACACUGGGACUGAGACACGGCCCAGACUCCUACGGGAGGCAGCAGUAGGGAAUCUUCCGCAGUGGACGAAGGUCUGACGGAGCAACGCCGCGUGAGUGAUGAAGGCUUUCGGGUCGUAAAACUCUGUUGUUAGGGAAGAACAAGUGCUAGUUGAGUAAGCUGGCACCUUGACGGUACCUAACCAGAAAGCCACGGCUAACUACGUGCCAGCAGCCGCCGUAA
rnacentral:rRNA from 1 species